rnacentral:lncRNA from 1 species
ACCCAAAUAUACUCAGACAAUACAAGAACCCUAAAAUUCCCAAGACUCAAAUGGCGCAGAUACUAUUCAUCAUAUCUCUCAUCCAAAUCACUCCCAAACUCGCCAAAAUUCAUGGCGAGUGAACCCCAAACUUACACCACGCAUUUCCCCUUCUCUCCUCCUGCCAUAUUAUAACGGUUUCUGACACCCAAAGAUUCCCUCCCCCCUCACUCGCCCGAUUUCGAGCUAUAUCACGUGAUGGAAAGUUCUGAAGGACGAGAGUUGGAUGAGUGAGAGGCAUUGGAUCGAUUUUACUCAAUCUAAGCCUCACAUUCAUCAGAUGUUCGUUUUCAAAAAGGACCUCAUCCGAUUUUGUAAAGGACAGAGAAUUUCGAGGUAAAAGAAUUAGAGAGAAAAAUGUUUAAGGAUUUUUUGGGCUUCUCAUUUUCUCCUCUGAAAAAUAUUCUUUUUAAAAUUCAAAAAAUACAUAAACAUUUAGAGUGUUCAAUCUAAUUUUGGGUUCCAAAACAUGGAAAUUAAUUGAGGUCUAUUGAAUAUUUGUGAGGUUCAAGUUCGUCGAUUUCGUUUCUACUGAUGUCCUACUGAUUUGCUGCUGAACUUCGCUAGGAUUUUGGAAUCAAAAGGUGUAUUUGCUGAUUCAGUAAUUAUUAUAAAGGAAAUUUGUAAUUUUAGGUUCGAUUUUUUUUCUCCUAUGUGACUCUGUUUUUUUAGGUCUUCUUGAGCGAUGAGAUUCUGUCUAGAAUGGUUUGUUUUGUUCUGUGAUCGAAUUUCUUACUGAUGAAUCUCUUCUCAAUGGUGUGAUGUGCUUGAGUACGUUUAGUCAGUAAGAGUUUUUUUGAGUGGUCGUCCUCUAUGCUUUAUAUGCUUUAAUUGUUAUUAUGGUGUCGAGUUAUCAUUUGAGUCAAGAUGUCGUCGUUUUCAAAUGAACGAUUGCGUUCAGCUUUGGGAUUGUAUGGAUUCCUGAAGGGUGUCACAUUACUGUUAGUUUAGGUUGAUUGGUUCUCCUAAUGUUUGCAAAGUUUUCCUGUUAUAGUUGGUUGGUCUGUUAACGUAAAGCUGCUCUUGUCUGUUGAAACAUGGAAGUUGAAUCAUAGGUUUACUUGAUUCUGAACAUGACAGUAUGAGUAUGAAGCAUUGCAUUUGAGGUGUUAUUAGUUUCUGUUUAAAUAGGCUCUCAUGAGAAGAAUGUCGUAGUCCUCUGUUAAUUAGUUCAUUAGUUUGAGGUAUGCUAAAGUAUAUCUUGUUUGCUUAAUGGGUAUAAUGGAUUCAUCCCUCUUCUUUUUACUCCAUAUAACUGCACGAGGUGCGUCCGAAUGGAUAGUUCUAUGUCAUUUGUGCCACUUUUGAGUUAUUUUGUACAAAGGGACUAGUGUGGUUAUGUUAGUUUGGUUUAAAAGGAUGAACCAGUUUUUCUUUUGUAGAAGAUUUUUUGUUGUCUAUUUCCGAGUUGAUAGAUAAGAACUGAAACUACGCGCCUGCUUGGAAGCUUCUGCUGUUGCAGGAAUUUAGAAAAAUUAUCUUCAUUGUAUGUUUGGAUGGAGUUAGUGCUUGAUUCUGUUAACCCAUUUUCAAUACAACUCUUUGUAAUAACCAGUUUUUCAGGAAUUCAAAUGUUGGUUUCGAAAUUGGUUGGUCACUGCUAUAAUCUUUUACUUCAUUAGAGGAUCCUCACUCCCCAUCCCUUAGUAUAGAUGUACAGAAUCUCAAAAACCUGGCUUGAGUUUCAUUUUGCAUUAAUCUUAGUUUGAUGAGGUUUGUAGGUUAGCUGUUUCCCUUCUUUUCUCCUCUAUCUUCAUUCUUCCCCUUUCUUUUCUGAUAAUUUGAUAGGCGGCACUUUGAUUGGAGUUGGAGCUUAUUUUCUUUUGUUUAUUAAAAUAACAGUUACAUUGGUGUGAGGAUAGGGCUCUAAGGGAUGAAAGAUUGCAAGCUGAAUGAUAGUAAGAUAUAGUAAGGCUUACUGGAAAAUGGCAUUUGUUACUGGAUAAUUAGUGAAAAGCAUGCCAACUGUUGAUGGAUUCAUGAAUACUUCAUUGAGCUUUGUCAAUUUCUUUAACUGCUGAUGCUAUUCUUUUCAUGGUAGAUUACUGUAUUGGCAUGCGAAAUAUGUCAUAUAUUAAGGGAAUUCCUAGUAACAUUAAUUAAUAUUUGGUUUUGUGUUGUCUCAUUGAAGUUUGUAGUAAUUGAUCGAACCUCUGCUCUUAUUUUGUGCUUUUAUUGCUUGUUAUAGAAUACUAUGCUAAGCUGCAAACAAUCUUCUUGUAAAGUGACAUGGAUUCUUCAGUGAA